CUCUCUCGUGGCUAUGCCCUAGCUUUCUCCCGUCCACCGCUUCUCUCUUUCUUACACCCCCCGCUCUCGAACACCGCUUCCCUCUCUCUUGUGGCACGAGUCCCCGGUAGCCGCUUUCCUCUCUGUUGUGCCCCCGAUCCCAGCAGCCGCUCUCCUUUGUCGUGUGCCCUUGUCCCGGCAGCGCUGCCCUAUUCUAUCUCGUGCCUCUGCUCCCAACCACCACUCCCCUGAGUGUUUGGCGCCCUUGUCCGAGAGUCUCAGCUCUCCUUGAAAUCAAGCCUUGCUGAUGCUCCAGGAUAUAUCAAGCAACAAGCCAAUAUCUACAGUGAUUGAAGGGAUUGAAGGGAAACAAUUUUUGCUUCAGAGCUACAAGGAGGAGAAAGUUGAGCUCAGUUUUCCUUAACAUAAUUUGUGCUAGGAGAAAUAUUUUGUAAUAAGUUGGUUGUUGUCAUGUUAUUGCUGUUGAUUCUUGUUUGGGUCUUUUAGUGCUCAGUUUUCCUUAA